GCGAAUUUAAGUAGCGAAGUGUGCGAUUCCGGCUGUCAAGAAAAGCCGCUAUUGUGUGAUACGUGCCCGUACCGUAAACCGACACAGGUAGAUGAGGAGAGAAUCCUAAGGCCGGCGGGAGAAGCAUUGUUAAGGAACUCGGCAAAAUGACCCUGUAACUUCGGGAGAAAGGGUGCCUGGGAAACCAGGCCGCAGAGAAUAGGCUCAAGCAACUGUUUAGCAAAAACACAGGUCUAUGCGAAACCGUAAGGUGAGGUAUAUGGGCUGACGCCUGCCCGGUGCUGGAAGGUUAAGAGGAGGGGUUAGCGCAAGCGAAGCUCUGAAUUGAAGCCCCAGUAAACGGCGGCCGUAACAAUAACGGUCCUAAGGUAGCGAAAUUCCUUGUCGGGUAAGUUCCGACCCGCACGAAAGGCGUAAUGAUUUGAGCGCUGUCUCGACAAUGCACCCGGUGAAAUUGAAAUACCAGUGAAGAUGCUGGUUACCUGCGCCAGGACGGAAAGACCCCAUGGAGCUUUACUCCAGCUUGAUACUGGGAUUCGGUACUGCAUGUACAGGAUAGGUGGGAGACUGAGAACUAUGAACGCCAGUUUGUAGGGAGUCGCUGUUGGGAUACCACCCUUGCGGUAUUGGAUUUCUAACCUGCAGCCGUGAACCGGCUGGGGGACAAUGUCAGGCGGGGAGUUUGACUGGGGCGGUCGCCUCCGAAAGGGUAUCGGAGGCGCUCAAAGGUUCCCUCAUAAUGGUUGGAAACCAUUAGAAGAGUGCAAAGGCAUAAGGGAGCUUGACUGCGACACCGACGGGUGGAGCAGGUAGGAAACUAGGACUUAGUGAUCCGGUGGUAUGAAAGUGGGAUUGCCAUCGCUCAACGGAUAAAAGCUACCCUGGGAUAACAGGCUUAUCACUCCCAAGAGUUCACAUCGACGGAGUGGUUUGGCACCUCGAUGUCGGCUCAUCGCAUCCUGGGGCUGUAGCAGGUCCCAAGGGUUGGGCUGUUCGCCCAUUAAAGCGGUACGCGAGCUGGGUUCAGAACGUCGUGAGACAGUUCGGUCCCUAUCCGGCGCGGGCGUAAGAUAUUUGAGAGGAGCUGUCCUUAGUACGAGAGGACCGGGAUGGACGGGCCGCUGGUGUACCUGUUGGAGUGCCAACUCCAUGGCAGGGUAGCCAAGCCCGGACGGGAUAAACGCUGAAGGCAUCUAAGCGUGAAGCCCCCCUCAAGAUGAGAUAUCUCAUACGCAAGUAGUAAGACCCCUUGAAGACGACAAGGUAGAUAGGUCAGAGGUGGAAGUGUGGUAACACAUGGAGCUGACUGAUACUAAUCGGUCGAGGGCUUGAAC
rnacentral:rRNA from 1 species